ACAAUGGGCGAAAGCCUGAUGCAGCGACGCCGCGUGAGGGAUGACGGCCUUCGGGUUGUAAACCUCUUUCAGUAGGGACGAAGCGCAAGUGACGGUACCUACAGAAGAAGCACCGGCCAACUACGUGCCAGCAGCCGCGGUAAUACGUAGGGUGCGAGCGUUGUCCGGAUUUACUGGGCGUAAAGAGCUCGUAGGCGGUUUGUCACGUCGUCUGUGAAAACCCGAGGCUUAACCUCGGGCCUGCAGGCGAUACGGGCAGACUUGAGUACUGUAGGGGAGACUGGAAUUCCUGGUGUAGCGGUGGAAUGCGCAGAUAUCAGGAGGAACACCGGUGGCGAAGGCGGGUCUCUGGGCAGUAACUGACGCUGAGGAGCGAAAGCGUGGGUAGCGAACAGGAUUAGAUACCCUGGUAGUCCACGCCGUAAACG
rnacentral:rRNA from 1 species